rnacentral:rRNA from 1 species
GGGAGGGCAAGUCUGGUGCCAGCAGCCGCGGUAAUUCCAGCUCCAAUAGCGUAUAUUAAAGUUGUUGCAGUUAAAAAGCUCGUAGUUGAACCUUGGGCCUGGCUGGCCGGUCCGCCUCACCGCGUGCACUGGUUCGGCCGGGCCUUUCCCUCUGGGGAAUCCCAUGCCCUUCACUGGGUGUGGCGAGGAACCAGGACUUUUACUGUGAAAAAAUUAGAGUGUUCAAAGCAGGCCUAUGCUCGAAUACAUUAGCAUGGAAUAAUAGAAUAGGACGUGUGGUUCUAUUUUGUUGGUUUCUAGGACCACCGUAAUGAUUAAUAGGGACAGUCGGGGGCAUCAGUAUUCAAUUGUCAGAGGUGAAAUUCUUGGAUUUAUUGAAGACUAACUACUGCGAAAGCAUUUGCCAAGGAUGUUUUCAUUAAUCAGGAACGAAAGUUAGGGGACCGAAGACGAUCGGAUACCGUCGUAGUCUUAACCAUAAACUAUGCCGACUAGGGAUCGGACGAUGUUAUUUUUUGACUCGUUCGGCACCUUACGGGAAAC